rnacentral:rRNA from 1 species
UCAAGCUAAUAAGAGCAUAAGGUGAAUGCCUUGGCAUCAAGAACCGAUGAAGGACGUAAAAAGCUGCGAUAAGCUUCGGGGAGGCGCACAUAGCCAACGAUCCGGAGAUUUCCGAAUGGGGAAACCUAGCUGAGAAAAGCUCAGUUGGCGUACAGUGAAUCAAUAGCUGUGCGUAGGGAACGCUCUGAACUGAAACAUCUAAGUAGGAGCAGGAAGAGAAAGAAACAUCGAUUUCCUAAGUAGUGGCGAACGAACGGGAAACAGGCCAAACCGAGAUACAUGUAUUUCGGGGUUGUGGACUACAUCAUGUGAUGGAGGUAAGGUAGUAGAAUUGUUUUGGGAAAGCAAGCCAAAGAAAGUGAAAGCCUUGUAUACGAAACCUGAAGACCCACAGUAGUAUCCAGAGUACAUCGGGACACGUGAAACCCUGAUGGAAGCCGGAGGGACCACCCUCCAAGCCUAAAUAUUCCUUGAUGACCGAUAGCGAAGAAGUACUGUGAAGGAAAGGUGAAAAGAACCCCGGGAGGGGAGUGAAAGAGAACCUGAAACCUUAUGUUUACAAACAGUCGAAGUUUUUCGGAACGACGGCGUACUUUUUGUAGAACGGUCCGGCGAGUUGCAGUGACAUGCGAGGUUAAGGAGUACAGCUCCGGAGCCGAAGGGAAACCAAGUCUUAACUGGGCGUCUAGUAUGUUAAUGCAGACCCGAAACCGGGUGACCUAUCCAUGGGCAGGUUGAAGUUACCGUAAAAGGUAAUGGAGGACCGAACUCACAUCUGUUGAAAAAGGUGGAGAUGACCUGUGGAUAGCGGAGAAAUUCCAAUCGAACUCGGAGAUAGCUGGUUCUCCUCGAAAUAGCUUUAGGGCUAGCCUUGAGGUAAAGUCUAAUGGAGGUAAAGCACUGAUUGGACGCGGGUCCCCAAAAGGAUACCAACUUCUAUCAAACUCAGAAUGCCAUAUAGAUAUACUCAGGAGUCAGACUAUGUGAGAUAAGUUUCAUAGUCAAAAGGGAAAGAGCCCAGACCGACAGCUAAGGUCCCAAAGUGUGUGUUAAGUGGAAAAGGAUGUUAGGUUUCUAAGACAACUAGGAUGUUGGCUCAGAAGCAGCCACUCAUUUAAAGAGUGCGUAACAGCUCACUAGUCGAGAGGUCUAGCGCCGAAAAUGUCCGGGGCUAAAACACACCACCGAAGCUACGGAAUUACCUAUGGUAAUUGGUAGAGGAGCAUUCUGUAAGGAUGAAGCACAAUUGAAAGAGAGUGUGGACGAAACAGAAGAGAGAAUGCCGGAAUGAGUAGCGAGAUAUAUGUGAGAAUCAUAUAGGUCGAAUGUCUAAGGUUUCCUGGGUAAAGCUGAUCUGCUCAGGGUAAGUCGGGACCUAAGGUGAGGGCGAGAGCCGUAAUCGAUGGACAACAGGUAGAAAUUCCUGUACUACGUAUAAUCAGAACUGUGGGGACGCAGGAGGAUAGGAAAACCGGAGAAUGGAAAAAUCCGGCUAAGUACAAAGGUGUGAGUGAUAGGCAAAUCCGUCACUAUUAGCUGAAGUACGAAUGGGAGCGAAGAAAAGUAGCGAAGUUUCUGAAUCCACACUGUCAAGAAAAGCCGCUAUUGCGUUAUACGUACCCGUACCGCAAACCGACACAGGUAGACGAGGAGAAAAUCCACAGACCGACGGGAGAAGUGUUGUUAAGGAACUCGGCAAAAUGACCCCGUAACUUAGGGAUAAGGGGAGCCAACGCAAGUUGGUCACAGAAAAGAGGCUCAAGCGACUGUUUAGCAAAAACAUAGGUCUAUGCGAAACCGUAAGGUGAUGUAUAUGGGCUGACACCUGCCCGGUGCUGGAAGGUCAAAAGGAGAGGUUAGCGUAAGCGAAGCUUUGAAUUCAAGCCCCAGUAAACGGCGGCCGUAACUAUAACGGUCCUAAGGUAGCGAAAUUCCUUGUCAGGUA